CCUGCCCCUAGAGGUGUGACAAAUGUGGCUGGCAUCUCACAUGUGCAUCAGUAUGUGUCAGAGAGGGAAGAGAGGCUAUGCUUACUCUCAGUGUUCUGACGUAGGAACAUCUGAGUGAUUUGUAGCCUAACAUU
rnacentral:snoRNA from 1 species